AAAACAUGCGGAGCGGCGGAGGUCUCAAACUUGUUUAUUUGUCCCUGAAGAACGCAACAAGACGAAAAAGAUGAUUAUUAUUUCGCGAAUCGAGAAAUGGCGUCACUGCCGCCGACUUCUAAUGGAACAAGAAAUGCAGUUCGAUAGACCCGAGCACACCGGUAGGAGAUCGCCUUCGAAAUAAAUCCGUUAUGUGUUUCGCAACGCCCUGUAAAGGCAACACCCGAGUUCAUGAUCAGACUGUGCGCGUUUAUUUAAAGGAAUGCAAAGUUGGGGCUAAAACGGUUCAAACUCAAUUUUACGUUAUAACACAGGCGCGCAUAGCUCCUGCAACUUAAAGCGACAGUUACCGCUUUGCAUCCGGUCGAAAACCAUUCGAAUAUCGAAGCCACUCAACCGCACAUCCUUCAGCGAUAGCCCAAGGGUUUAGCCAUUCUUGUGUUGUGAAAAGGGCGGAAAAAGAGGCGUCGGUUCGUAAUACCACAUACGAGUAAUUGAAGUAUCUACUUACCGUCAGGGUCGCCGUCGGACUGAA